rnacentral:rRNA from 1 species
CCUACGGGAGGCAGCAGUGAGGAAUAUUGGUCAAUGGGCGGGAGCCUGAACCAGCCAAGUAGCGUGAAGGAUGACUGCCCUACGGGUUGUAAACUUCUUUUAUCAAGGAAUAAAGUGAGGCACGUGUGCCUUUUUGAAUGUACUUUAUGAAUAAGGAUCGGCUAACUCCGUGCCAGCAGCCGCGGUAAUACGGAUGAUCCGAGCGUUAUCCGGAUUUAUUGGGUUUAAAGGGAGCGUAGAUGGGUUUUUAAGUCAGUUGUGAAAGUUUGCGGCUCAACCGUAAAAUUGCAAUUGAUACUGGCAGUCUUGAGUACAGUGGAGGUAGGCGGAAUUCGUGGUGUAGCGGUGAAAUGCUUAGAUAUCACGAAGAACUCCGAUUGCGAAGGCAGCUUACUAAACUGCCACUGACAUUGAUGCUCGAAAGUGUGGGUAUCAAACAGGAUUAGAUACCCUUGUAGUC